rnacentral:rRNA from 1 species
GCGCAUAGUACCGUGAGGGAAAGGUGAAAAGAACCCCGGGAGGGGAGUGAAAUAGUACCUGAAACCGUAUGUCUACAAGCAGUCGAAGCGAAAGCGACGGCGUGCCUAUUGAAGAAUGAACCAACGAGUUAUCUGCACUAGCGAGGUUAAGUGGAAGACACGGAGCCGUAGCGAAAGCGAGUCUGAAAAGGGCGACGAGUUAGUGUAGGUAGACCCGAAACCGCAGUGAUCUACCCAUGUCCAGGUUGAAGCGCAGGUAAAAUUGCGUGGAGGACCGAACCGGUGAGCGUUGAAAAGCUUUCGGAUGAGAUGUGGGUAGGGGUGAAAUUCCAAUCGAACGCGGAGAUAGCUGGUUCUCCCCGAAAUAGCUUUAGGGCUAGCCUCAGGUAGUAAGUAUAGGCGGUAGAGCACUGAUCGGGCUAGGGGCCAUAAAGGUUACCGAACCCUGUCAAACUCCGAAUGGAUAUACUGCAGAGCCUGGGAGUCAGACUACGAGUGAUAAGAUCCGUGGUCAAAAGGGAAACAGCCCAGACCACCAGCUAAGGUCCCCAAUGUCGUACUAAGUGGAAAAGGAUGUGGGGUUUCAUAAACAACCAGGAUGUUGGCUCAGAAGCAGCCACCAUUUAAAGAGUGCGUAAUAGCUCACUGGUCGAGAGACCCUGCGCCGAAGAUUCCCGGGGCUAAAGUACGAAACCGAAGCUGUGGCUGUAUACGUAAAGUAUACGGGGUAGGGGAGCGUUCCCAUAGGGUAGAAGUCGAACUGGAAGGUUCGGUGGACUUGUGGGAAGUGAGAAUGUUGGUAUGAGUAGCGAAAAGAAAGGUGAGAAUCCUUUCCACCGAAAGCAUAAGGAUUCCUGAGCAACGAUCGUCGUCUCAGGGUAAGUCGGGACCUAAUCCGAGGCAAAGAGCGUAGGAGAUGGACAACAGGUUGAUAUUCCUGUACCGGCAGCAAUUGUUUGAGCGAAGGAGUGACACAGAAGGGCAGGCAGGCGCGAGACUGGAUUGUCGCGUGCAAGCGUGUAGGGUAGUGUACAGGCAAAUCCGUACACUGAGAGCCUGAGGCGUUACGCGGAGCGAGCAGAGAUGCGAGCGAAGCUGCUGAUCCCACACUGUCGAGAAAAGCUUCUAGUGAGAGAGCUGCCGCCCGUACCGUAAACCGACACAGGUAUGCGGGGAGAGAAUCCUAAGGUGCGCGGGAGAACCCUCGUUAAGGAACUCGGCAAAAUGUACCCGUAACUUCGGGAUAAGGGUAGCCACUGUUGUGAAGUCCCACGCGGAUGGAGCAUAGAGUGGUCGCAGAGAAGAGGCCCAAGCGACUGUUUACCAUAAACACAGGUGCCUGCUAAAGCGAAAGCUGACGUAUAGGUGCUGACACCUGCCCAGUGCUGGAAGGUUAAGGAAGGAUGUCCGGGUAACCAAAGCAUUCGACCGAAGCCCCAGUGAACGGCGGCCGUAACUAUAACGGUCCUAAGGUAGCGAAAUUCCUUGUCAGGUAAG